CCAUGCUGGAAGGAGAUGCAUACAGCAGCCUAAUCUUACAAGAGCGUGCUUCUCCAAGGCACACUCUUCCACUCCCACCGAGCGGCAAACAAAACGCUUUGAGAAUCAAUCAAGACUGCACAAAGCCCUUCAGAUCUAAAGGAGAAUCAAGGAUCUACACAAAUCAAACACACGAUCGUGCAUCUAUGCCUUCAGUUGCCACAAGGCAGCGCUCCUCAAUAUCCGAAUCACAUCCUGCCCUAUCAACUUUCAACGAUAGGAUAGAGGCCUACCGUGGUGGUAACGGGUAACGGAGAAUUAGGGUUCGAUUCCGGAGAGGGAGCCUGAGAAAUGGCUACCACAUCCAAGGAAGGCAGCAGGCACGCAAAUUACCCAAUCCCGACACGGGGAGGUAGUGACAAUAAAUAACAAUACCGGGCUUAUACAAGUCUAGUAAUUGGAAUAAGUACAAUCUAAAUCUCUUAACGAGGAUCCAUUGGGGGCAAGUCUGAUGCCAGCAGCCGUGGUAAUUCCAGCUCCAAUAGCGUAUAUCAAAGUUGUUGUAGUUAAAAAGCUCGUAGUUGAAUCUCGGGGUGGGGCGAGUGGUCCACCCUUGCGGGUGUGCACUAGUCGCUCCACUCUUUUAGUCGGGGAUGCUGCCCUGGCCUUCACUAGCUGGGGCACGGAGUCAGCGAUGUUACUUUGAAAAAUUAAAGUGCUCAAAGCAGGCAGUUGCUCUAAAUACAUUAGCAUGGAAUAACGCUAUAGGACUCCGGUCCUGUUGUGUUGGUCUUCAGGAUGGGAGUAAUGAUUAAGAGGGACAUUGGGGGCAUUCGUACUCCGUUGUCAGAGGUGAAAUUACGGAAGACAAACUACUGCGAAAGCAUUUGCCAAGGAUGUUUUCAUUAAUCAAGAACGAAAGUUGGGGGCUCGAGACGAUCAAAUACCGUCCUAGUUUCAACCAUAAACGAUGCCGACUAGGGAUCGACAGAUGUUAUUUAGAUGACUUCGCCAGCACCUCAUGAGAAAUCAAAGUCUUUGGGUUCCGGGGGGAGUAUGGUCGCAAGGCUAAAACUUAAAGGAAUUGACGAAAGGGCACCACAGGAGUGGAGCCUGCGGCUUAAAUUGACUCAACACGGGGAAACUUACCAGGUCCAGACAUAGUAAGGAUUGAUAGAUUGAGAGCUCUUUCUAGAUUCUAUGGGUGGUGGUGCAUGGCCGUUCUUAGUUGGUGGAGUGAUGUCAUAGUUUUUAAUAUGACUCAACCCUUUACUUUGGGGUUUGACUGUUUUACUUACCGAAUUGUGUGACGAACUCUAGAUGUAGUAAGAAAACAUG
rnacentral:rRNA from 1 species